rnacentral:misc_RNA from 1 species
AAUCCAUUUGAGGGGUGAAAAGAACGGUAUCAUUAAUAUUUCUGUGAAAGUGAAGGGGGUAGCAGUUGAUUACAUGGCUCAUGCCGUGAGAAAGAAUUUGUCUGGUUAUCCGUAUUCUUCUUCUUCUUCUUCUUCUUCUUCUUCUUCUUCUUCUUCUUCUUCUUCUUUCUCAUCAUCGUCGUCGCAGCCAACCUGGGGAUAUCAUGGAGUAGCAACGGGUGUUCCCAUUUGGUGUGCAUCUCGUGCUUAAUUGAUUAAUUCGGGCUCUGUUUUGAGUUUGGAGUU